rnacentral:rRNA from 1 species
CGAUGUCUACUUGGAGGUUGUGGCCUUGAGCCGUGGCUUUCGGAGCUAACGCGUUAAGUAGACCGCCUGGGGAGUACGGUCGCAAGAUUAAAACUCAAAUGAAUUGACGGGGGCCCGCACAAGCGGUGGAGCAUGUGGUUUAAUUCUAUGCAACGCGAAGAACCUUACCUACUCUUGACAUCCAGAGAAGCCAUUUAAGGNNNCNGUGUGCCUUCGGGAGCUCUGAGACAGGUGCUGCAUGGCUGUCGUCAGCUCGUGUUGUGAAAUGUUGGGUUAAGUCCCGCAACGAGCGCAACCCUUAUCCUUGUUUGCCAGCGAGUAAUGUCGGGAACUCCAGGGAGACUGCCGGUGAUAAACCGGAGGAAGGUGGGGACGACGUCAAGUCAUCAUGGCCCUUACGAGUAGGGCUACACACGUGCUACAAUGGCGCAUACAGAGGGCAGCAAGCUAGCGAUAGUGAGCGAAUCCCAAAAAGUGCGUCGUAGUCCGGAUUGGAGUCUGCAACUCGACUCCUGAA